UAAAUCUUUUCCCACACUCCAUAAGGUUUCUCAGCCACCAUGUGGAUUCUCCCAUGUUUCCUCAGGGCAGAGCUGUGAUUAAAGCUUUUCCCACACUCAGCAUGUGUAGGGCGUCUCCCCUGUGUGGAUUCUCUGAUGUGCGAUAAGGGCCGAGUGAUGACCAAAGCUUUUCCCGCACUCAGCGCAUGUGUAGGGCAUCUCUCCUGUGUGGAUUCUACGAUGUGAGAUGAGGGCUGAACUAUGAAUGAAGCUUUUCCCACACUCAGAGCAUCUAUAAGGUUUCUCACCCGUGUGGAUUCUCCUGUGUGCGCUCAGGGGAGAGCUCUGAUUAAAGCGUUUCCCGCACUCAGAGCAUCCAUAUGGUUUCUCACCCGUGUGGAUUCUUCUAUGCGCGCUCAGGGAAGAGCUGCGAUUAAAGCUUUUCCCGCACUCAGCGCAUCCAUAAGGUUUCUCACCCGUGUGGAUUCUCCUGUGUGCAUUCAGGGUAGAGCUCUGAUUAAAGCUUUUACCACACUCAAUGCAUCCAUAAGGUUUCUCACCC